AGAGUUUGAUCCUGGCUCAGGAUGAACGCUGGCGGCGUGCCUAACACAUGCAAGUCGCACGGGGCCUUCGGGUCUAGUGGCGGACGGGUGCGUAACACGUAGGCAUCUGCCCUGAAGUGGGGGACAACAGCAGGAAACUGCUGCUAAUACCGCAUGCGGCCGCAAGGUCAAAGCCUAACGGCGCUUCAGGAGGAGCCUGCGGCCUAUCAGCUAGUUGGAGGGGUAACGGCCCACCAAGGCGAUGACGGGUAGCUGGCCUGAGAGGGUGGUCAGCCACAUGGGGACUGAGAGACGGCCCCAACUCCUACGGGAGGCAGCAGUGAGGGAUCUUGCGCAAUGGGCGAAAGCCUGACGCAGCAACGCCGCGUGGAGGAUGACGGCCUUCGGGUUGUAAACUCCUUUUCAGGGGGAGCAGAACGGAGAGUACCCCUGGAAUAAGUCACGGCUAACUACGUGCCAGCAGCCGCGAUAACACGUAGGUGGCAAGCGUUAUCCGGAAUUACUGGGCGUAAAGGGUCCGCAGGUGGGAAGGUAAGUCUGAUGUGACAGCGCCCGGCUCAACUGGGCGUGGCCAUUGGAAACUGCCAUUCUUGAGUCACGCAGAGGGGUGCGGAAUUCCGGGUGUAGUGGUGGAAUGCGUAGAGGUCCGGAGGAACACCAAAGGCGCAAGCAGCACCCUGGGCGAGGACUGACACUGAGGGACGAAAGCAUGGGGAGCAAACAGGAUUAGAUACCCUGGUAGUCCAUGCUGUAAACGAUGCAUGCUAGGCGUUUGGGGACUAGACCCCCUGAGCGCCGCAGCUAACGCGCAAGCAUGCCGCCUGGGAAGUACGGUCGCAAGGCUAAAACUCAAAGGAAUUGACGGGGGCCCGCACAAGCAGCGGAGCGUGUGGUUUAAUUCGAUGCUACGCGAAGAACCUUACCUGGGCUUGACAUGCUGGUGGUAGGAAGUGGAAACACCAACGACCCGCAAGGGAGCCAGCACCGGUGCUGCAUGGUUGUCGUCAGCUCGUGUCGUGAGAUGUUGGGUUAAGUCCCGCAACGAGCGCAACCCCUGGAGUCUGUUGCACGUACCAGAUUCAACUGCCCGUCGCAAACGGGAGGAAGGUGGGGAUGACGUCAAAUCAGCAUGGCCUGUAUGUCCAGGGCGACACACACGCUACAAUGGCCAACACAAUGCGCCGCCAACCCGCGAGGGGGAGCAAAUCGUCAAAGUUGGUCACAGUUCGGAUUGGAGUCUGCAACCCGACUCCAUGAAGGUGGAGUUGCUAGUAACCGCGCGUCAGCCAUAGUGCGGUGAAUACGUUCCCGGGCCUUGUACACACCGCCCGUCACGUCAUGGGAGUUGGAGACACCUGAAGUCGGUCGCGCAACCGCAAGGAGCGCGCUGCCGAGGGUGGAGCCAAUGACUGGGACGAAGUCGUAACAAGGUA
rnacentral:rRNA from 1 species